rnacentral:rRNA from 1 species
GAGAGAGUUCAAGAGUACGUGAAACCGUUCAGGGGUAAACCUGAGAAACCCAAAAGAUCGAAUGGGGAGACUCAUCGCCAGUGACUUUGGCUCUGGUAUGGAACUGUACGAUCUGGCUACGGCCAGUGUUGUGCGUCCGUAUCGGUGUCCGAGGUCGUCGGUGUGCACUUCUCCUCUAGUAGGACGUCGCGACCCGUUGGGUGCCGGCCUACGGCCCGAUCGGUUGACUGACGCGUCGCCCUCGGGCGUUCCCGUGUCAGACACCGUUGGUUGCCCGGCCGGCUGCUCGGCGGUAUAGAAUGCUUUAAUACGGUAUUGAGCCGCACUUAAGUGCGUUCGGCUCGUCGGCAGUCUCACACAUCGUGCGGAUUUACGGACUUUAGUGCCGUUGCCGUUACGUUGUGAGGCUAUCAGUCGACGAUGUCCUCGGACUGGCUCGUAACAUUCGAAUGGAUAUACCGGUCGGCGACGCUACUGCUUUGGGUACUUUCAGGACCCGUCUUGAAACACGGACCAAGGAGUCUAACAUGUGCGCGAGUCAUUGGGACACGUAAGCCUAAAGGCGCAAUGAAAGUGAAGGUCUUGCUUUGUCUUGACCGAGGGAGGAUGGCUCGCGUUACGAUGCGAGUCCGCACUCCCGGGGCGUCUCGAGCUCAUUGCGAGCAGA